rnacentral:tRNA from 1 species
GCGGGCAUCGUAUAAUGGCUAUUACCUCAGCCUUCCAAGCUGAAGACGCGGGUUCGAUUCCCGCUGCCCGCU